AUGGAAAGCGACAGUUCAGUGAGGAAAACAGGAUCAGGACGAGACAAGCAAGCAGGGAUAUUUCAGUAGCACAAACGGCACUGACAAUUGAUAAGCUUAUAUGGUUAAUGCCCACCCAGUAACUUAGUUCUUAGAACAGAAUAAACCCUCCGUUCACAGCCCACUGGAUAUCUACACUCUGCCGUCUGCACUAGAGACAAAAAGAGGAGGAUCCCUAGGAGCACGCAGACAGGGUAUCAGCAUGGAUUGGCGGGGGCCCUUCGGAGGUGGGAGCCAUCAGCGUUAGUGCACAGCUGAUUUCACAUCCAUUGGAUUCAGAGAAAUACCUUUCCAGUGUCCCCCUGCACCACUGCGAUCACCCCUCUGCUAUAGAUGUGAAACUUGAUUGACAUAUGUGAUCGCUCUGAUCAGCAUCUGUAUGUGGAGAGGCUGGGGUCCCCCCCACUCCCCUUAGUGUUGAAAGGCGCUGGAUUUCAGCGCCUCUUGCAUUCCACAGGUGCCGGGGAAGGCAGAGCGAGCUGCGAUGUGAAUCCACGUGAUCGCUUUUAGUCCACAGCCCCAGCUCUGCCUCCACGCUGGGCAUCAGUGUAAUUCCUGCUUCCCCCAGGGAGAUCAGACCCACUCCAUGUGUUCAACCUCCCAGGAAGCGGAGAAAUCAGACUAAUGCCUAGAUUCCAAGGCCAGAAGGGAUCACAGAGAUAUAAUCUCAUCUGCCCUCCUCUAGACCAGCCCAGAGACCUGCCCCCAAAUAAUUCCUACCACAGAGCUUUUCUAUUUGUCUGACAAUUUUAUUCUUAACUAUUGUUUUGACUAAUUUCAUCAGUACCGACGUUAGACUUAACGUUCUAUAAUUGCCGGGAUCACCUCUAGAGUCCUUUUUAAAUAUUGGCGUUACAUUAGCUAACUUCCAGUCAUUGAGUACAGAAGCCGAUUUAAAGGACAGGUUACAAACCUUAGUUAAUAGUUCCGCAACUUCCAUCU